CCUCUCCCUCUCACAUAUUUCACACACACACACACACACACAUACACACAUAGUCACACGCACACACGCGCCGCACUCAAAUACUCUCUCACUCAACUCACUUCUCUGACUCUCCCCCUUUUUCCCCCAACACACUUUUCUACCCCCACACCUUCCCCAAAAUUACGAUUUUGUACGGAUCCACACCCCCCUAACUCCUUUCCCCUCCUUCUCCUUACACCUGAUCGACCUCCGGUGAGAUUCCGGCCAUGAGUGCCGGAACGACGUCGUUUCGGUCUAUACUUGACAAACCCCUUAACCAGCUCACCGAAGAUGACAUUUCUCAGCUCACCCGUGAAGAUUGCCGCAAAUUUCUCAAAGAAAAAGGUAUGCGACGGCCUUCGUGGAACAAAUCGCAGGCGAUCCAGCAGGUUUUAUCUCUCAAAGCUCUGUAUGAACCCAGUGACGAUUCCGGCGCCGGGGGAGCCCCAAGAAGGAUUGUCGUUUCCCCGCCGCCGCCGCCGACUAAUGUGCCGUCGCGCGUGACUUCGAAUUCAGCUGAUUCAGGUAAGAAAACAAGUGGUGAUGUCCAGGCUUCGGUAUCCGUGGAAGAAUCUGCUCCUUAUAGAAGAAAGGAACCUUCGAAAUCUACAGUUGAAGACAAGGCCAUUGAUGCAGAUAGCAGGGACGUCAGUCCGAGAACUCAGUGUGCAACUGAUGUGCCAGUUGGGCAAAUGACGAUUUUCUACUGUGGCAAGGUGAAUGUAUAUGAUGGGGUGCCACCUGAAAAGCCAUAUAUGGAUUUGCAGGCACGGGCAAUCAUGCAUCUUGCAGCAAGUCCAGUUCACUCAUCUUGGGAAAAUCCGUUUGGUAGCCCUGUAGCAAUAAGGUCCCUCCCAUGGCAUUUACAGACUGCGAGUGACAAAGGUGGCCUUCCUCCCAGUGCCACAAUGUCUCAGGCCAUGCAAACAGAGAAGACGGCUGAAUAUGCUCAACAAUGCUGGGAAAAAGGAAAUAAUGCACGUGAUCCUGAUGCAGAUGGACCAGCAAACAGAAAAGUCUUAUUGCAGAGAUAUCGUGAAAAGCGAAAAGACAGGGGAAGGUUGAAGAUCAAGAAAAACGUGGGCUUGACGUCUAGUUGGGAGGUCUAUUUGAAGGACCAGGUGAAGACACAUACCUCAAAUGGUAAUUCAAGCCGUAGUAGCACAAGCUCUCCACCCCAACCUGGGCUGCCACAAGUCUUAUGUAGCACAGCUGACAAUCUGUGAAGGAUUGCCUGUCUGCCUGAUGAUCUCAAUGAAAAAAAAAAAAAAAUCUUUGGCCAACAAGUAACAUGUUCGAAUUCCACCUAGCUGUGGACGGUGCAUGGUGUGAGCAAAAAGACAUGGGUCAUUUAUGGAAACGUCCUUGAAUGCUGAAGUUGAGACUUCUUUAGCAGAGUUUGGAUCGAUGAAAUCACUUUGAGACCUCUACUGACUUGGCAGAGUUUCUGGAGAUCUAGUUGGAGAAUUCUCUUUUUAAAAGAGUGUGUGGGUUUUUUUAGGCUCAGAUCAAUUUUGUAACUUUCUAGGAUCAUCACUGGUCAUCCUUAGGAAUUACAAUUAAUUUGUUUACGAUGUUAAGCUAGUAAGGUAUCUUAGGGGGUUGAGAAUGUGGAGGUGGAAAGCAGUAGUCAUUUUCCUUCAACUUCUGAUGUAUGUAAUUUGUAUGUUGGCCCACCGCAAGGCCACAAAAGGAAGGGCCUUGAGAAUUAAAAUCUUAUAUAUUUAAAUAUAUAGUACUUUUUCUA